GGCACAGUGGCUUAGUGGUUAGCAAGUUUGCCUCACACCUGCAGGGUUAGGGGUUUGACUCCUUUCUCUGCCC